rnacentral:rRNA from 1 species
GACGAACGCUGGCGGCGUGCUUAACACAUGCAAGUCGAACGGAAAGGCCCUGCUUUUGUGGGGUGCUCGAGUGGCGAACGGGUGAGUAACACGUGAGUAACCUGCCCUUGACUUUGGGAUAACUUCAGGAAACUGGGGCUAAUACCGGAUAGGAGCUCCUGCUGCAUGGUGGGGGUUGGAAAGUUUCGGCGGUUGGGGAUGGACUCGCGGCUUAUCAGCUUGUUGGUGGGGUAGUGGCUUACCAAGGCUUUGACUGGUAGCCGGCCUGAGAGGGUGACCGGCCACAUGGGGACUGAGGUACGGCCCAGACGCCUACGGGAGGCAGCAGGGGGGAAUAUUGCACAAUGGGCGGGAGCCUGAGGCAGCAACGCCGCGGGCGGGAAGACGGCCUUCGGGUUGUGAAACGCUUUCGGCUGUGACGAAGCGGGAGUGACGGUAAUGGGUAAAGAAGCACCGGCUAACUACGUG